rnacentral:rRNA from 1 species
CCCAGACUCCUACGGGAGGCAGCAGUGAGGAAUAUUGGUCAAUGGGCGGAAGCCUGAACCAGCCAAGUCGCGUGAGGGAAUAAGGCCCUACGGGUCGUAAACCUCUUUUGCCGGGGAGCAAGGUGCAGGUCGGGACCUGCUGUGAGAGUACCUGAAGAAAAAGCAUCGGCUAACUCCGUGCCAGCAGCCGCGGUAAUACGGAGGAUGCGAGCGUUAUCCGGAUUUAUUGGGUUUAAAGGGUGCGUAGGCGGAAUGCCAAGUCAGCGGUAAAAUCGCGGGGCUCAACCUCGCUCCGCCGUUGAAACUGGCGUUCUUGAGUGGGCGAGAAGUAUGCGGAAUGCGUGGUGUAGCGGUGAAAUGCAUAGAUAUCACGCAGAACUCCGAUUGCGAAGGCAGCAUACCGGCGCCCAACUGACGCUGAAGCACGAAAGCGUGGGUAUCGAACAGGAUUAGAUACCCGGGUAC